rnacentral:rRNA from 1 species
UACGGGGGGGAGCAAGCGUUGUUCGGAUUUACUGGGCGUAAAGGGCGCGUAGGCGGCCACCGCAAGUCGACUGUGAAAUCUCCGGGCUUAACUCGGAACGGUCAAGUGAUACUGUCGGACUAGAGUACAGAAGGGGCAACUGGAAUUCUCGGUGUAGCGGUGAAAUGCGUAGAUAUCGAGAGGAACACCUGCGGCGAAGGCGGGUUGCUGGGCUGAUACUGACGCUGAGGCGCGAAAGCCAGGGGAGCGAACGGG